UACAGAGGUCUCAAGCGUUGUUCGGAUUCAUUGGGCGUAAAGGGUGCGUAGGCGGCGCGGUAAGUCGGGUGUGAAAUCUCGGAGCUUAACUCCGAAACUGCAUUCGAUACUGCCGUGCUUGAGGACUGGAGAGGAUGGUGGAAUUCCCAGUGUAGAGGUGAAAUUCGUAGAUAUUGGGAAGAACACCGGUGGCGAAGGCGGCCAUCUGGACCGUUUCUGACGCUGAGGCGCGAAAGCGUGGGGAGCAAACAGG
rnacentral:rRNA from 1 species